rnacentral:rRNA from 1 species
GAGAUACACCUGUACCCAUGCCGAACACAGCAGUUAAGCCCUAGAACGCCUGAAGUAGUUGGGGGGUUGCCCCCUGUUAGAUACGGUAGUCGCUUAGCA